rnacentral:rRNA from 1 species
AUGAGCAACUGGUCUUGGCGGCAAGAUUUGGUUAGGGAAACUUUCAUCGCCCCAGAUGUCGAAGCCAUUCUAAACAUCCCGAUCAGGCAAGGUGGAGGGGUUGAGGAUUCUUUUGCUUGGGCAUUCGAGAAAUCAGGCAACUACACUGUGAAGUCAGCGUACCGUGCUCUCAUGAAUCAGAACAAGCGUUUGGCUCUAGAGGAAGGGACGGUUACCGGAACCUCAGUAGACGAUCAGCAGCUGUGGAAAGCCUUGUGGAAACUGAAUGUCAUACCGAAAGUGAGGGUAUUCUGGUGGAGAGUUCUUCGUGGGAUUCUUCCGGAUGAAGCUACUCUCAACAAUCGUCAUAUUGCACCAAUUAGCCGGUGCAAAGUCUGCUUAGCGAUGAGGGAGGAUCUGGAGCAUGCUCUAAUCCAUUGUUCUCAUGCACAACGAUUCUGGGUGAGGCAUGCGCAUGGUUCGGUAUACGUCUACCACGCCUCCAUCCGGACUCAUGGGCUCGCGACAUCACUUGUGACACUAGGUUCUCUAAUGAUGACCGAGCCAAAAUUACCACUAUCAUGUGGUCAAUAUGGCACUCUCGGAACCGAGUCAAGCACAGCGAAGAGGGGAGGGAUCCAACAUCGACGAUCAGAGCUAUCAAGGAGGCCCUUGCCAUACUGCAACUUCCACGAAAGGCAGCCACUAUUUUACCUGGUUAUGGCUGGAGGCCACCUGAGGAUACUACUAUAA